rnacentral:rRNA from 1 species
UACGGGGGGGGCAAGCGUUGUUCGGAAUUACUGGGCGUAAAGGGCUUGUAGGUGGCCAACUAAGUCAGACGUGAAAUCCCUCGGCUUAACCGGGGAACUGCGUCUGAUACUGGAUGGCUUGAGUUUGGGAGAGGGAUGCGGAAUUCCAGGUGUAGCGGUGAAAUGCGUAGAUAUCUGGAGGAAUACCGGUGGCGAAGGCGGCAUCCUGGACCGACAUUGACGCUGAGGAGCGAAAGCUAGGGGAGCAAACGGGG